rnacentral:misc_RNA from 1 species
GACGUAGGGUGCAAGCGUUGUCCGGAUUUACUGGGCGUAAAGCGCGCGUAGGCGGCUUGUUAAGUGUAGAGUGAAAGCUCCGGGCUCAACCCGGAAAUUGCUCUGCAUACUGGCAAGCUUGAGGGAUGCAGAGGUCUGUGGAAUUCCUGGUGUAACGGUGAAAUGUGUUGAUAUCAGGAGGAACUCCCAUGGCGAAGGCAGCAGACUGGGCAUCAUCUGACGCUGAGGCGCGAAAGCGUGGGUAGCAAACAGG